AUAGUUCGAGGGUUGUUUAAAAAAAUCCUGCUGUAAUGUGUUCGCGCUUCCUAUUGGCUGCGCUGGUGGUGCUAUAGCCCACUGAGUUCGAACGAUCUGCCGCAGAGCUAGAGAAAACUGCUGUGGAUGGAGCUGUAUUACAUCUACAUCACUCACUACUCUCUCUCUAUUUUCCACUGCUCUGUGCAGUGAGAACAGCAGAGCUGGAGAGAACUGCUGUGGAUGGAGCUGUAUUACAUCUACAUCACUCACUACUCUCUCUCUUUUCCACUGCUCUGUGCAGGAAAUAAAUUCAAAUAUCAUCCACAUUCUGGGUGUGUGUGCUGUUGAAGUGAGGGGGAAACCGGGCCAGA